rnacentral:rRNA from 1 species
UACGUAGGAGGCGAGCGUUGUCCGGAGUUACUGGGCGUAAAGGGUGCGCAGGCGGCGGUUCGCGUGGAUAGAUGAAAUCUCCUGGCUUACCUGGGAGGAUGGUAUCCAGACGGGAUCGCUUGAGGGUCGGAGAGGGGCGUGGAAUUCCGGGUGGAGCGGUGAAAUGCGUAGAGAUCCGGAGGAACACCGACGGCGCAGGCAGCGUCCUGGCCGCUUGCUGACACUGAGGCACGAAAGCUGGGGGAGCAAACAGG